GAUCCUGCCUCUCAGCAGCCAAGGAAUAUAGGGAAUAAAUCCUGGAUGCUGACAAGGAGCGCUUGAGAUCAGGAAUCUCAGUCUGCAGGGUGAACUGAGAAGCUAUAUACCCUGGCUGAAGUCUGCCGAGGCUCAGAGGAGCACAGCAGCAUGCCAGAUCCUCCCUGCAUUUCAGCAUAUCAGCCUGAUACAAAUCAGAGAGACUGCCAUCUGCACUUAUCAAGACAGUUGUGGACUUUCUUUGAAGCUGGAGAUGGCCCAGGUGCAUGUUUUGUAGCAGGUGGCUGAAAUCACUGGAACUGUGACAGAGCAUACAAAUUAUUACAAGAAGAAGGGCAUGAGUUGAUAGAAGCAUUGUGGAAAAACCCAACAGUGUAAUCCCAGGAAAUACCAGUGGCAGUCAUUAAGUUAUCACCUACAAAAUCAGGAAACCAGAUGGGAGAGCAUUGUUCAGAAGAAGGAAUACAAUGCACUGAAUCUGUGUUGCAGUUUCUGGCAUUUUGGAGAUUUCAUAAAGGAUGGAGGAGGAGGAAGCCUGGGAACAGCUGUUCAGAAAAAUGGCCACCUCUCAAUAAUUACUUCCUUCAAAAUGUGUUCAAAACCCCCACAUAUGAUGUCAAUAGGAUUCACUGGCUUGCUUUGGUGGCUAGCUUCAGCUAAUAGAUGACACAGAAUAUUGCCUGAAUCUAUUACAUUUCUGUGAACACCAAAUGCCUAGAUUGUAAGACCAGCCCAAUUCUUUGCUCUGCUGGAAGUCAUCUUAAGAGGU